UAUGAUCAUAAGAAAGUAUCCAGAAGUAAAUUUUGUAAAAAUAAAAUUCCAUUUUUUCCAUAUUUUACUUAUAAAUGGACUUAGUUUUUCUGCGAGGAAACAUUACAUUCACUCUGUGGUUAAAGUUUAUAAAAUUUAAUAGCUUUCAUAAACUAUCUUUGAUUUGUACUAAACUUGGACAGAAGCUUGUUUAUGAUCAUAAGAUAGUAUCAAGAAGAAAAUUUUGUAAAAAUAAAUUUCCAAAAGUAGGCGAGACACUGGGUUCCGCUGAACCCUUACAAAUUUUUUUAAUUUUCUGUGACAAAAAGAUAUAAUUUAUUUUCAUCAUUAAUAUUUGCUUUUCAUCAUCAUUGAUAUAACUAUCCCUUUAAGAUUAAGUUCCAUUCUGUAUGUAGGUAUUAUGUUUUUAACAUAAUGCAGACCAUCAUGCAAAGCUGUAUUGCUUAGAUAUGUUGACUAUAUUUACCAAAAAGAAAGGGAGACAAUUCCCAGAUUAAAACACAUAUAUUUAUUGUUCUUCAUUAAAGCGGGUGCCAAUAAAAGAGAUUUAUGAUAACAUAUCAAGUAAUAGGCAUUAAGCUUUUAAUAAUAGAUCUAUAUACAAUGAACAUGCAUUUUAAUAUUUUGUGCAUUAUGAUAAGAGAAAAGUGAAUAAAAUGAAACAAUUAUUGUCAUUCAAUUUUUAAAAUUUGUUUUUGUUUUUUUGUUUUAUAUUAGCUACCAGGCACUCUUUGAAACUUAAUGUUCCUUGAAAACAUUGUAUUUGGUUCUGUCUAACCUUUUUGAAUAAAGGUACCUUUUGAAAAAUUAAGUAAGCUUGCAUCUCUUUAAAUGAAUACACAUUUUUUUGGCAUAAUUUGGUGCUUUUUACAAUUUUUUGUGCUAAUUGCUAGGAUGUUUUAGGUUUAAGGUAAACUGAAUUAAUUUAUUGCUUUUGAUUUUUUUGGUGCAAGAUGAGAUUUUGUAAGGGAAUUUGUUUGCUUUGUUACCAAAAGGCACUUAAUACCUCAGAAUAAUCAAAAUACGUUUUUAUGUAUUUAAAGAAAUGAUUUGGUUAUACGUCUGUGUAUAAUUAGUAUAUGUUACAUGUACUAUAUAAUAAGUGGUAGGCAUCCCACUAAUAAUAAUGAUUCCAAAUUAUAAAAAUACAGGAUUUUGGAAAGAUAUUUCUCCUUAUUUGAAGUAAUGUUUGUACAUGUAUAUAUAUUUGUACUUCAGCUCCCUACUACAAAUGUAUUAGAUAUAUAUAUAUGUAAAAGAUAGAGUAAGAAAUAUUGUGCAAGAAUAGUGCAAUUAAAUUGUAUGUUGUGAUAUGUUAUU
rnacentral:lncRNA from 1 species